rnacentral:hammerhead_ribozyme from 1 species
AUUCAACUGAGUUGUCCCAAAUUGGACGAAACGCGCGUUUUGGAU